AUGUGCUGGAACCGCAGCGGUCUGUUAGCACGCCUUGGUGGUGGCGUGAUGGAUGACGGCCCAGCCGCCCGCCCAGCUGCCAAUGAAGGCACACGGCCGCUGGCAGCGAGGACGGGGGCUGGCCAGGGUGGGGGUCUGCUGCCUCCUUUUGUGCCGUCGGUAGAGCUACCCCUGGGGACCGGGAGGUGCAAAGUCCCCUCCGUGCAUGCAAACCAGGCCAGGGGGUGGGGAGGGGACACAGGCGGGCUUGCCAGGAAAACCCAGGACACCCAGCGAGCUCUGAAACUCAGAUGUUGGCAAGGGAGUGUGUCCCGUGCACUGCCUGACACGCACUCCCUUUGUGUCCGAAGUUCAAACGGAACCGGGGGCCCUGUAUUUUGCUUCGCUAACUCCGGCCCCCCGCGACCUGGCCCCCGUCGCCAACCGAUAGCACCGGACGCUCGCUGUUCGUCACGCCCCCGGGCCACCUGUCCAGGCCGCUGGGAGCUGCGCUCGGACAGAAGCCAAGGAGUUCUUGGCAUCUGGAGUCCAGGAGUCCGGGAACCUCGGGCAGGCACAGUCAGGUCACGAGGCUCGGGCAGAGGGAAGGAGCCACCUGGUCCAGUCGAGGCCGUGGGAAGCAGGAGACGGGGGCCGAUGGCGUUCCUGAAGUUUGCUGCAUUCCGCCAGCUCGUGCUCGGCAAGGGGUUGCCAAUGCGGAGCCAGGAGAGGCACGGCCUCUGUCCUGAGGGAGGGCCCGGAGGACGCUGCGGAAUUUCCCACCCUAAUUACCCUGGACUCACCCUCAGUCGCUGGCCGUGUCGUCCCCGCACCUCCUCGCGCCCCCGAAAUCAGCUGCUAAGCCCUGACCAUCCCUCACCUGCAAUGUGUCCCGCGUCCAACAGCACCGAAGCCACCCUGCUGCUCUUUGCUUUAUGUCCUCGUUGGCUCCACCUUGGAGGCACUGCCCUCUAUAAAUGUGCCCGUCUCGGGUCACAGGCCACCCCGUGCCACCUUUCUGGCUCUGAGGCAGUGCAGGCCGGCUGGACGCCCAAGUCCAGACGCACUGGCAUGGCAUUCAGAGCCCCCCCGAGGUGCGUGCGCCCGGCCUCGUCUCCCGCCAGUCCACACUGCGCACCCCCAUGCUGCGGGCACCCGGGAUGA
rnacentral:lncRNA from 1 species